AACAAGCCUCAAAUGUAUUUUAGUGCCACCCACUGGCCAUAGGUACAAUUCAGUUGUUGGCUUGUUUUGACUUAAUUCUAAAAUAGGUCUCAAGCCUGUAUUUUUAUGAGUUUAUUUUUUUAAAACCCUGCAUAUAUAUGAUUGUUUUUCUUAUAACUUUACUAUAUGAAAGCAGCAUAAGAGUAGUCACAAACAUGUUUUGCAACAAAGUUUUAAUUAGAAUGUAAGUUGCUCAGUUAUACUGUUCUUCUUAUGUAUGUAAAAUUUUCGUAUUUUG
rnacentral:lncRNA from 1 species